rnacentral:rRNA from 1 species
UGAGUAACCUGCCCUUAACUCUGGGAUAAGCCUGGGAAACUGGGUCUAAUACCGGAUAUGACUCCUCAUCGCAUGGUGGGGGGUGGAAAGCUUUUUGCGGUUUUGGAUGGACUCGCGGCCUAUCAGCUUGUUGGUGAGGUAAUGGCUCACCAAGGCUUCGACGGGUAGCCGGCCUGAGAGGGCGACCGGCCACACUGGGACUGAGAUACGGCCCAGACUCCUACGGGAGGCAG